GUAGCUCCAAGGACAGCU
rnacentral:siRNA from 1 species